UCCUCACUAUUGCUCUCCUCCUCCCUUCCAAACUAGCAAACAAAUGCGGUUUGGAAUUGAACUGCAAUGCUUUUCCUUCCUCACUCUAAUUUCGGUGUCAGGUGUGUCCUUUGUUUGUUAAAGAUAUUAAUAAGAGGUGUUGAUUUCAUUAUUUUGUUGGUGGAUUUUAUCGUAGCUGACAUGGAAAUAGGAGUAAGACAAUGACAGAGUGGGUAGUCAAUCCCGUGGGAUCCCGGUGGAGUGGAGCGGUUGCUUGCCGCUGUGGGAUGGCUGCGAGCGACACAGUUAGCCUUAGCGGCUGCUAUAGCCGGGUUAGUGGCUAUCCCACUAUCCGCAGUUAGCCUUGGGAGGCAUAGCUUGUUACUCAGCUGCUUUACUUAAAUAUUAUGCCAUGUCUACUUGGUGAUUCUUAAGUCAAAUUUCUUUAACCCUUUUCAUUGUAUCUGCAAGUUAAAAGGAUAUAGAAUCCGAGUUUCUAAAUUUUAAUGGGAGAUACUUUGAUAUUUGGUUGUGUCUACCUACUAUCUUUAAUGAUAUCUUUGGUAUUUGGUACAAGUUAAAACAGAAAUUUAUGGCAUUUCUUAUUUGUGGGUCCAAAAUCUACUCUAUUUUGAAAGAUUGAAUUAAUCAGGAUUAUGGAAGUCAUCACUAAGAAUGAACACCUCAAACCCAGGUGAACAUCUAAUGGUCUGUAUUGAAUUGAAUUAGAUUGUGAUUAGAAUAUGAAUCUAGCAUUUGUUUUCCAGCUUUUGAGAGUCUAGUAUAUGGAUGUGGAGGCUGCAUCUAACUGAUCCACAAUCGGUCGAGCCUCCAUAAGUACCAUAUUUAUUCAAAAUUAGAAUUUAGAAGUUAAAAAACAAAAUACAAACUGAACAUAUUUAUUCAAACCAUCCCCAAACAAGGGCUGUUGUAUCAUCUAACUCAUUAUGAUGAAUAGCAUCAUUUAUAAACAUGCACAAAACUAAUAAAUUGAUGUAAGAACCAUCACCAAAGUAGAGAUGUGCUAUAAUUUCCAAGUACUAGUAAUGAUUUUUUUUUGGCUACAGGCUUCCCGAAGGAAAGUCUAAUUAUAGCAAAAUCUUAACUCUUCUUAUUACCAAUAGACUCACAAGAUGAAACAUUUCAUAAAUGCUGCUGAUAUGGUGGCUCCAACAUCCACAGAUUUAUAAGUACAGUAUAUAUCCAUAUAAAAUUAUAAAUAUUGUUUUUCCAGUGGAUCAAGUAAGGAUUAUGGAUUGUGUAUCCCUUUCCAAAAUCCUUUCCCUUAGCAUUUAUGGAGCAAAGAACGUUAAUGAGCAUGAGGCUACACAUACAAUAUGCAUUCAAUGUGGAUGUAAAUGUACUAAAGGUAGUAGAUUCAAGCAAAGCCAUUAAUAGAGUUUGGAGAGUGGUCAGGGGUUGGGUAGUUGGAAGCAACUGUGUCACACCACUGGAAAUAUUUUGCCAUUUUUUUUUAAUAUAGAAUUUGUUAAGUUAUUAAUGUGUCAAUGUUUCGCAAAUCAGAGUACUAGAAGUUAUUAAUUAAUAAUACUAACUUCUAACUGUACAAACCUACCAUUUGCCAUGUUGUAAAAAAUUGCUGUUCUUUAGUCUCUGUAGGGCCUUUAGAUCAGUGUGAUGAUCUUGAUUAAUUUUCUGCAACUUAAAUUCUUGUUACUAUUAGUAUAUAGUAUGAUGUUAAAUUGUUGUAUUCAUUUAGGUAUUGCCACAUCAGCUGGUUUAGAUUAUAGAAGCACAUUGCUCUUGUAUUAUUUUUCUUGCAGGAGCUCACAAAUGAAAUUUACUGUAUGCCUAGAUGUGGGGAUGUGAAUAAUAAGUAUCCUCCAGACAAAAAUAACUUUGGUACACUUUGUUUCAGAAUUGAUUUUGCAUCAGCAUUUUUGUUUGACUAAAUGUGAUAAAAAUUUGAUUUUGGAGUAUAAUGAAAAAUCAUCCAAAAAUAAACUAAUUCACUUCAAUCUCAAACAUAUAGUUGGGAGUAAUUAUAUCUUAUUUUUGUUUUUGGAGGGAAUGUUGAAGGAGAAUUACAUCUUAACAAAAAUGAAAAACUCCAAUUAACAAACUCUUAUAAGAGGAAAGAUGAUAAAUGAAGAAAAACUUCCAUUUUGCUAAAAAAUAAUCAAAAUAUAAUUGAAUACCAUAACAACACGUAACCGAGACUACUUGUUUGAAGACGCAUUUCCAGCAAAAUGUACAG